GGCCCGGUAGCUCAGUUGGUAGAGCAGCGGACUGAAGAUCCGCGUGUCGAUGGUUCGAUUCCAUCCCAGGCCACCA
rnacentral:tRNA from 1 species